GUUAAGGUAGCAAAGCUCGGCCCUGCAAAAGACCUAAGCCCUUUGGACAGAGGUUCAAAUCCUCUCCUUAACU
rnacentral:tRNA from 1 species